GGGCGUGUGAGUGUGUGUGUGUGUGUGUGUGUGUGCGCGCACGCCCAAGAUC
rnacentral:miRNA from 1 species